rnacentral:rRNA from 1 species
UACGGGGGGGGCAAGCGUUGUUCGGAAUUACUGGGCGUAAAGGGCUCGUAGGCGGCCAACUAAGUCGGAUGUGAAAUCCCCAGGCUUAACCUGGGAACUGCAUCCGAUACUGGAUGGCUUGAAUUCGGGAGAGGGAUGCAGAAUUCCAGGUGUAGCGGUGAAAUGCGUAGAUAUCUGGAGGAAUACCGGUGGCGAAGGCGGCAUCCUGGACCGACAUUGACGCUGAGGUGCGAAAGCGUGGGGAGCAAACAGG